rnacentral:rRNA from 1 species
CCUACGGGGGGCAGCAGUCGAGAAUCAUUCACAUUGGGGGAAACCCUGAUGGUGAGACGCCGCGUGGGGGAAUGAAGGUCUUCGGAUUGUAAACCCCUGUCAUGUGGGAGCAAAGUAAAAAGAUAGUACCACAAGAGGAAGAGACGGCUAACUCUGUGCCAGCAGCCGCGGUAAUACAGAGGUCUCAAGCGUUGUUCGGAAUCACUGGGCGUAACGCGUGCGUAGGCUGUUUCGUAAGUCGUGUGUGAAAGGCGCGGGCUCAACCCGCGGACGGCACAUGAUACUGCGAGACUAGAGUAAUGGAGGGGGAACCGGAAUUCUCGGUGUAGCAGUGAAAUGCGUAGAUAUCGAGAGGAACACUCGUGGCGAAGGCGGGUUCCUGGACAUUAACUGACGCUGAGGCACGAAGGCCAGGGGAGCGAAAGGGAUUAGAUACCCUUGUAGUC